rnacentral:lncRNA from 7 species
UGUGCGUCCAGGCAGUGCUCGACCAGCGCCACAAGGAGUGCGUGCGCGGACAGCGCCAUGGCGGUCACGGCAUCCCGCCAUCUAAUCUCCCCAGUGAAUUCUCCUGGCGGCGGUGCUGCCCCAUUCUCUCUCUCGUCUCAUCUCCAUGGCGAGGCUCUCGGCGUGGCACAGGGGCGUCGAUGCAAGGAGGUCAAGAGGUUAGCAGCACCGCAACAGUUAUAACCCAAAGCGGUUCGACCGUCUGGCUCCCUGCUGACCGAAUCCUAGGUAGUUAGGCAUAUCUUCUCCUAAUAACAAACUUCUGUUGUGCCUACCCCGAGAUUCGUGGCGAGAAGAUGCACAGGAACACGAAGCUGUCAUCAGGGUCCCUCAUGCUAUCGACCCCACGUGGACGCAGCACGCACCGAGCGAGGAACACCCAACGCGCAUGGCCAAAGGAAAACGGAUGCAGAUUCCCACGUGGAGCCCACACGUCAUUGAGAU